rnacentral:rRNA from 1 species
GGGUCAGUAGGUUGGUCGUGCCACCGGUACGUACUGGUCACACUGAUUCCUCCUUCCUGAAGAACCGUAAUGACAUUAAUUUGGUGUUGCGGGGAAACAGGACUGUUACUUUGAAAAAAUUAGAGUGUUUAAAGCAAGCUAACGCUUGAAUACAUUAGCAUGGAAUAAUGAAAUAGGACGAUCGAUCCUAUUUUGUUGGUUUCUAGGAUUGACGUA